ensembl:misc_RNA 7SK 7SK RNA
GGAUGUGAGGGCGACCUGGCGUCAGCAUCUGUCACCCCAUUGAUUGCCAGGGUUGAUUCAGCUGAUCUGGCUGGCUAGGCGGGUGACCCCUUCUUUCCUCACUGCUCCAUGUGCGUCCCUCCUGAAGCUGCGCGCUCGGUCAAAGAGGACGGCCUUCCCCGAAUGGAGACUGGUUUUCGGUCGAGGGUAUACGAGUAGAGUAGCUGCGCUCCCCUGCUAGAACCUCCAAACAAGCUCUCAAGGACCUGAACCAAUUUGGUUAUUUAUAAGUUUUAGAUUCUUUCUGCUUGGUAUUGGGUACUACUUAUAGUUCCGGACAGUAGUAUUCAGUUUUC